rnacentral:lncRNA from 1 species
GGGAAACAGAAUCACUAUUUGUCAUGAGAUAAGGGGUUUCUUACAGGAAUUAGACCUGGCUCAAUUAUGAGAGGAGCUGUGGAGGUGACAGUGCAGGAGGGAAGUGGGAGGAUCAAAGUAGUCAAAAUCCAGUGUGACUGAGAAGUCAAGCAUAUCCAGCCUCCAAGAUGGGACUUUGCAGACGAGUGUCACAGGAGGCCUCUGUGGGUGGCUGUGCCUCUGCAAGACUGCCGGCAAGCAUCUGAGGUACUCUCUGGGCCAACUCUCAACCAGAAACAUACAAGAACGGGCAUCUUAGGAGGUGACUUAAUGGAGUUGACACAGGACAAACUACCCCCAGGCAUAAGGAAAUUGAGUCUUCA